UUUCUACACCAUUUCAUAUUUAUUUGUAAGUACUGGGUUUAAUACCUAAGAAGAUAAGAUCAUUAACCUAGGGACUGACUUUGCCUAGCUUCCAGUGUAAAAGGUGUUGCUGCAGAUUGAGUGUGUGGCCAGACACUCGGGGCCUCUCAGACGGCACAGACAACAGUGCUAAAGCAUGGUACAUAUCGUGGAUGAGGUAGUGAUUGUGAGUACCGUUGUGCUUGCAGAGGGUACACUCAAAGAGCUGGAUUUCUAAUCCCCAGAUCUGCCCAAGCCUCAACCUGUCCCCUGCCUUGGACGGGUCUCAAUACCACCUGGCUGAGGUGAAGUUUUCUUUCCACCUGUUAAAGAUUGUAACACCUCAUAGCAAUAGGAAUAGGAAUGGUGGAUCCCUGAAGAAGGCAGAAGUUGUUGGGUGGGGGCAAAAAUGCUAGGGUCUUCUGGAGAAGUGCAUCUGAGGUUCCUUUUGGAGACCUUCCAAAGCAAAGGUGGCUUUUGGGACUUACAGGACUUCUUUCCUAGGAAUGCCUGCUUUCUCGAGGCUUAGUACCCUCCUGUAGCCUGAUGUGCCAGAACUCAGCUCAGAAAUCUGGGAACUUGGGCGGAGUGCCUGCCCUCGUGCUACAAGGGCAUAGUGUGACCUUAAGCAAGACAUUUCUCUUUUCUGGAACAGUUUCCCUCUGGGGUCUCUCUCAUGGUGGCCACCUUUCUCCUAGGCUACCGAUCUUAGGGCCCUUCCCAACUACAGUAAUAGCUCUUGUAAACUGAGCAGUCACUCAACUGAGCCCUGUCUUCUGAGUACAUGCAGCAUAAUCAGAUUCAAAGUAGACUCAGUCGUGGUUCCCACUUUACAGAUGAGCAAACAGGCAGAAAGAGGGUAAGUCGGAAGUGCACACGGCAAGUUAACAGCCUGGAUUUGACUCCAAAGUUUGAGCUGUGAAUGGUGCUUCUGAAUCUUGAGGUUAACGAGCUUUCUUCACAACCUGGCCUGGGAGGGAUUAAUGCCACAAAUGUAUACUGAAGGCUGAUCGUGGACCACCCUCUUCCCUUGCUGCCUGUGCUGAUCGUGGACCACUCUCUUUCCUUGCUUCCUUUGCGUGGUCAUCAGAGGCUGAGACUGUCUGUUUGAGGCAAAGGAGGUACACCGAGGUCUCCUUGCCCCAAGGCCUCUCCCAGCUGUCUCCACGAGGACUACUGGACUCCUGCCUCGACCCCCGCCCCCGGAGUCCCCCGUUCUUCCCAUUUCUCCGCAGAUUCCUCGGGCACACGGAUGUGGAGCUCACUCCCUUGGAGGGCUCUGGGGAAGGAGGCGGCCGACUCCGUUCACCUCCUGCCUGUGCUAGGGAGGUGAGCAGCGCCAGGCGCGGCUGAUAUCCCAGGGCUCGGCCUUAGGCUGACUCCCGCGUGUAGGGCAGAGAUGGGCCGGGGUCUUAGCGCAGGGGGCUCUGAGCCCUAAGGACAAGGUCGCAAGGAAAUGGCACGGAGAUCUCCCCGGCAGCGGCGACCCUCGGGACUCUAAGUUAGGACCACUUAGACCGCCAGAAACGACCCCAUGACCUCUAGGCGGCCCUCCCGCAAGGGGCCAUGAGAGAGCCAAUUGAAGGAGGACUGCUCUGGCCGCCAACCAAUCAGCACCAAGGAUUGCCGUUGAGGCGGGCCCGCGAGAGAAGUCGCCAGAGAGGCGAGGGCCCAGGAGGUGUUGGCUGGGCUUUCCUCCGCGGAAGUGGUGCCGACCCUCUUCGAGUGGAUUGGCUGCUCCGGCUUACCGGAAGUACCGCUCACGCCCCUGCUCUACCGCGCUUGCGCAGCCGUUUCCCCAUGUAAUACGGGCGUCUACGGCUACUUCUUAGCUGGCGUCUUAGUCCAUUUGUUUGGCGCUUUUUGCUGCGUCAUGUCGUCGUGUUGGUUGCGGUCUUCAGUAACCGGGAAGUUGGAGGCUGGGAGGGAUAGCUGAUGUGCAGGGCCAGCACUGGGGGCGAGCUCAGGGCGGGCAGGGAUGGGCGCGAGGAGUGAGGCCCGCAACCCUGCAGAGGACGCCUGGGACCCCGAGGAGUUUCCUGUUGACUCACUCCUUGCUGGGGUGAGACAGUUGUUAGGUUAGGUUUGCAUUUCAGAACGUUCUGGUAAGGGCUUUGUAGCAGGGUGAGAAUGAAGACCUGUGCAAGAGAAGAAGCCGAAAGGGUUCAAGAUGCCAGGCGAAGCCACUUAUCAUCAACCUUUGCUCGUUCCGCGCCCGGGAGUACUCGAGUGGUUUCCUCUUACUGCACAGGUCACCUCUUAGCACCCUGGUGUAACUCCUAUUCAUGCUUCCGCAUACCAGACUUCUCGGAUCUCGGGCACCUCCCUUUCAUUUCCUGCAGGCACUUCACAUAAAAUAAACUUUUCCGUACCCCAACCGUUUCUGACCUUUCAGAAUUUCCCAUUUCAGGUCGGUGUCUUUCCCACGCGGUAGCACAGGCCACCACUAAGCACAGUCAUAUGGAGAUAACUGUGGAAAUGUGCGCCAGCCCCUCAGGCUAUGAUCCCCUCGAGGACAUGGACAGUGCUCCAAAAUCACAGCGCUCAGAAGUUAGGCAACCUGCUUCCCUGUCCCCCCCACAGUCAGAGCCCGUCCUUCUAGUUUCUCCAUAUCUCACAUAUUCAAUCUUUUCUCUCCAUCCAAAUUCUCAUCCUCUCUCCAAAGGACUACUGUGAGCCAUUUCCACUCUGUCCAGUUUAACAGCUGCCUCACCUGGAAAACCACUUUUCCUGUUCACCUGCCUCCGGAGGCCCACCUUUCCCAAGCCCUACAUCACAGAAUAAACGUCUCCGGUGACAGGACAGACCGUCGCGGCGCCGGCGCGGGUUGGGACGGAAUUCGCGGUGAUCCAGGCACUGACUGGCACGCGUGGCUGCGUGCGGGCACCGAGGAGCUGAUGGAACGAGUGCGUGGAGCGCAGUUCACACGGAGCUCCAAACUUUACAAGGAAGCCCCGAGAUGGAGACGAUGAAAAACAAGCGCGUGUUCAUGCUGGGGUCCCUCUGAGCGGUAGGAAAGGGAGAGGCGGCGUGCGGGGCGGCCUGCCUGGUGGCCGCCAGUUGAGAUGGGCUGAGCACCCGGCACAGUGGCCGCUAGGAGGCGCAGGCGCGCGGCUCCUUCAGGGAGGGCGCGGAGGUGUCUGGGGCGGCGGCGCAGCCAGCUUCUGAAGUGGAAAUAGAUUGUUUCCAGGAUUAGCAGCCAUGGAGUGGGUGGGGGGUGCAGUCUGGGUAAGGGGCCGUUCUUGAGAAUUGACAGCCAGUUUGGGCAGCCCGGUUGGAGGGGUUGUUCUCUGGGAUUCCUGGUCAUGGUUUGGGCAGCCUGGACUUUAUGGGGAAUGCAGAGAUUGUUUGGAGCAAUCAGCACCCACAGGUUGGGCAGGCUGGAUUCUUUUUUGAGGGGUGUCUUACUGUGUUGCCCAGGCUGGACUCAAAUUUCUUGGCUCAAGCGAUCCUCCCACCUCAGCCUCCCGAAGCGCUGGAAUUACAGGCAUGAGCCCCUGCACCCAGCCUGCUCAGUGACGUUAAUGCUAGCAAGAUUCCAUCCUAUGUGUGGAAAAUGGAGGCACAGUAGGUUAAGUCGCCUGCCAACUCAGCCAGCUGGUAAGUGGUGGGACCAAAAUUAGAUCCAGGCGGUCAGGUUCCAGCAUCUGGGCCUCUGGGCACAGGCAGCAGAGUGGUGAAGAAUGCUGAAUGUGGCCUUGGAUGUGGGGAAGACAAGAGGAAGAUUGCAGGAGAAUGUCAUCUGACUGAGGAGGAGUUCAUAUCUCCUUCCCCAGGCCUUCCAGAUGGACUUCUCCAGGAGGCUGCAUUCAUGAGGAGGCAGUCCUUGUUCUGCUAAUGAAGGCUUGGCCACUGGGUGGGGGCCAGAUGAGGCCCCAGGGCUAUCCAGGCAAGUUGGGACAGGUUCUGUUCAUCAAUGAGGCAGGGGUCUUCAUCAAAACCCAGGAAGGGUCACUGGCCUCUCCAAGCUACAGUUCUUUUUUUUUUAAGAUGGAGUCUCACUCUGUGGCCUAGGCUGGAGUGCAGUGGUGUGAUCUCAGCUCAGUGUAACCUCCGCCUCCCAGGUUCAAGCAAUUCUCUGCCUCAGCCUCCCGAGUAGCUGGGAUUACAGGUGCCCACCACCAUGCCUAGGUAAUUUUUGUAUUUUUAGUAGAGACAGGGUUUCACCAUCUUGGCCAGGCUGGUCUUGAACUCCUGACCUGGUGAUCCACGCACCGUGGCCUCCCAAAGUGCUGGGAUUACGGGCGUGAGCCACCAAACCUGGCCCUUUUAUUUUUAUUUUUGUAGAGACAGGGUCUUGCUUCGUUGCCCAACCUGGUCUCCAACUUUUGGCUUCAGGCGAUCCCCCUGCCUCAGCCUCUCAGUGUUGGGAUUAGGGCGUGAGCCAUCAUGCCCAGUAAAGUUCACAGUUCUUGAUCAGCGUCAGUGCGACAGAGCUGGUUGGGAGGAAACCUCCAUUUUUUUGUGUGAAAAGGCAAACAUGCUCACCAGGAGAAUAAUACUGGUAAAGAGAUAUGGCAGCGGAAUUUAGGAAGCCGGGAAGCUGAGCCUGCUGCCACAGAGUCCUAACCCAUCCUGGGGAGAGUCCCACAGCAAGACCAUUUGUACCAACAAAUACCAGAGGACUAGGAUGCAGAGCUCCUGGGAACCUCUGAAAUCUGGUGUUGGGCUAGAGUGGGAGGACUGUCUGGACACUAUGGGAAGGGCAGGGGAAGAGCUCUUCCUGCUGAGGGCUCCCUGCCUGUCUUGGCUCAAUUCAGAGAAGACGCUUCCUUUUCCACUGUGUCUCCAGGUGCAGGGCCAGCUGGGGGCCUUCUGUGUGUCUCAGUCCUUCCGCGUCUUUCUGGCUUGGUGGGUCUUUGUCUGGGAGAGUCUCUCUGUCUCUCUCUGGGUGUCUCUCUCCCUGUCCUAGCCCCAUCUCUCUCUCUCCCUCUGCUGAAUGGUCAUUUCCAACUUUAUCUCUGCAUCUUCGUAAUGUCCGGGUGUUUCCCAGUGACCCUGCAUUUGCUUGUUUCUGAAAUUUCCAUGGCUUCAGAUGUCUCCUUUGGUGUCCCCUCUCUAGGCCAAGGCCAGCAACUCCCCACCCUGGUCACAGCCGCACCAGGCACAAAGCGAGUAUUUAGUGCAAAUUGUCACCCGCACAGGGCCCUUCCCGACUGGCCUCUGCCUCUAGCCAAGAGGGUGGUUUUUGUUCAAGGAGACAGCUGAGGCCACCUCCUCUGGCCAGAAGGGGGCAGUCUAGGACAGUUCCGCGUCAUUUCCACCCUCCCCAUUGCUCUUCCUGGUGCAGAGACUCUCAGGUUACAGGGAGCAGAUUUUGGGUGUCUGUAAGUUUGCUCAAAGCUGAAGUGUUCUUUAAAAAUCUGGACUAGUGGAAAAAAAAAAUACGGACUAAUUCUCACGAGAUUUUAUUUUUAUUUUUUAUUUUUGCAGACACUCCCAGGUUAGGGAGAGUAGAUUUUGAGUGUCCCCAAGUUUGCUCAAACCUGAAGUUUUCUUUAAAAAUCCAGACUAGCCCACAAAUUCUCAUGACAUUGUAAAGGCUUAUAAAGUUGUUGGUGUGGCAGCUGUUCCUUGCUGGGCCUCAGUUUCCUCUACUGUAACUUGGGAAUGAUGGAAUCAGCCACCUCAGGGUAGGGAAGAUGAAAUGAGUAAUGCCCCUGCAGGGCUUACUUGGCACACAGCAUGCUCAGUGCACCUCAAAUACCAAAAACAUCACAUUCCUGUAUUUCCCUUCUCUUCUCCUCAUUGGCUGUGCUGCCCUCUGGGUGCCUGUCUCCACAGGCCCUCAGUUUCCCCAGUGGCACCUUGAUACAGGACUGGACAGGACCACCUGUGGCUUGAGCCAGCUGGAGCUUUUGGUGGGAAAAGCAUGCUUUCAAAGUUUUCCAGGUGCCUUAACUAAGCUUUCCUAACCAUUAAGUAUCUGGAUGUACAUUUAUUGAAUAACUGUAUGUAUCUCAUCUAUCAAGAAAUGUGUGGCCGGGCGUGGUUGCUCAUGCCUGUAAUCCCAGCACUUUGGGAAGCUGAGGCGGGUGGAUCACCUGAGGUCAGGAGUUCAAGAUCAGCCUGACCAACAUGGGAAAACCCUGUCUCUACUAAAAGUACAAAAAUUAGCUGGGUGUGGUGGUAAGCACCUGUAAUCCCAGCUACUUGGGAGACUGAGGCAGGAAAAUCACUUGAACCUGGGAGGCAGAGGUGGCGUGAGUGGAGAUUGCACCACUUUACUCCAGCCUGAGUGACAGAGUGAGACUCUGUCUCAAAAAACGAAAAACAAAAGAAAUACAGUAUUUUUUUCCUUUUUCUCAAAACAAAUUCUUGCUAUGUUACCCAGGCUGGUUUUAAACUCCUAGGCUCAAGAAAUCCUCCCACAUUGGCCUCCCAAGUCUGGGACUACAGUGCAGGCCACUGGGCCCCAUGCUUUAUAGUAUUUCUGUAUAUAGUGUCCCUUUAAAUGUUAUAUUUAUCCAACUACUAUAGAUAUGCAAAUGCAUAACUUUACCAAUUUACAGAGAUACAUAUAUGUGUAUAUUUGCAUACCUAUAUGAUUUCUCCACUUAGAAUUAAUUUUAGGACUAUUCUACAUUUUUCAUCAUCCUUUCAGUAUUUAUGUAACUGCUGUAGUUAUCCAUUCUAUGUAUUUAUGCAUGGCGAUUACUAAACUACUCUACAUUUCUGCAUGUAGGAAGACAGAUGUGUAAUACAUUUCUUGCAUAGAGAGCCUGUCAAUUUCCUCCAUGUUGUAUGAAUAUAUUAUAUCCUAUGUGCUUUGUAUCACUGAUGUGUGCACCUUGCCCUGCUCUUUGUGAGGGUCUCAGCCUUGCAUGGGUGGGCAUUGAACUCCUGUGCCGGGAAGUGGCAUUAGGAGCUGUCAUCUUCUGGCAGGACCUCAUGGCUGAUACUAUAUAUGUAUAUGCAUUUGUGUGUGUGUAUAUAUAUAUAUAUAUAUAUAUAUAUAUAUAUGCACUUAGGUUUUUAACUUUAUUAUUAUUAUUAUUUUUGAGACAGCCUGUUGCCCAGGCUGAAAUGCAAUGGUGUGAUCUUGGCUCACUGCAACCUCUGCCCACUGGGUUCAAGCGAUUCUCUUGCCUCAGCCUCCUGAGUAGCUGGGACUAUAGGCACACACCACCACACCCAGCUAAUUUUUGUAUUUUUAGUAGAGAUGGGAUUUCACCAUGUUAGGCAGGAUGGUCUUUUUUUUUUUAAUUGCAUUUUAGGUUUUGGGGUACAUGUGCAGAAUAUGCAAGAUAGUUGCAUAGGUACACACGUGGCAGUGUGUUUUGCUGCCUUCCUCCCCUUCACCCACAUUUGGCAUUUCUCCCCAGGCUAUCCCUUCCCAGCGCCCCCCCCGACGCUGUCCCUCCCUUAUUUCCCCCAAUAGACCCCAGUGUGUAGUACUCCCUUCCCUGUGUCCAUGUGUUUUCAUUUUCCAUCACCAGCCUAUGAGUGAGAAUAUGUAUUUCAUUUUCUGUUCUUGUGUCAGUUUGCUGAGAAUGAUGUUCUCCAGAUUCAUCCAUGUCCCUACAAAGGACACGAACUCAUCAUUUUUGAUUGCUGCAUAAUAUUCCAUGGUGUAUAUGUGCCACAUUUUCCCAGUCCAGUCUAUCAUUGAUGAGCAUUUGGGUUGGUUCCAGGUCUUUGCUAUUGUAAACAGUGCUGCAGUGAACAUUCGUGUGCAUGUGUCCUUAUAGUAGAACGAUUUAUAGUCCUUUGGAUAUAUACCCAGUAAUGGGAUUGCUGGAUCAAAUGGAAUUUCUAUUUCUAAGGCCUUGAGGAAUCGCCACACUGUCUUCCACAAUGGUUGAACUAAUUUACACUCCCACCAACAGUGUAAAAGUGUUCCUAUUUCUCCACAUCCUCUCCAGCAUCUGUUGUCUCCAGAUUUUUUAAUGAUCGCCAUUCUAACCGGCGUGAGAUGGUAUCUCAAUGUGGUUUUGAUUUGCAUCUCUCUAAUGACCAGUGAUGAUGAGCAUUUUUUCAUGUUUGUUGGCCUCAUGAAUGUCUUCUUUUGUAAAGUGUCUGUUCAUAUCCUUUGCCCAUUUUUGAAUGGGCUUGUUUUUUUCCUGUAAAUCUGUUUGAGUUCUUUGUAAAUUCUGGAUAUCAGCCCUUUGUCAGAUGGGUAAACUGCAAAAAUUUUUUCCCAUUCUGUUGGUUGCCGAUUCACUCUAGUGACUGUUUCUUUUGCCGUGCAGAAGCUGUGGAGUUUCAUUAGGUCCCUUUUGUCUAUUUUGGCUUUUGUUGCCAAUGCUUUUGGUGUUUUGUUCAUGAAGUCCUUGCCUACUCCUAUAUCCUGAAUGGUUUUGCCUAGAUUUUCUUCUAGGGUUUUUAUGGUGCCAGGUCUUAUGUUUAAGUCUUUAAUCCAUCUGGAGUUAAUUUUGGUGUAAGGUGUCAGGAAGGGGUCCAGUUUCUGCUUUCUGCACGUGGCUAGCCAGUUUUCCCAACACCAUUUAUUAAACAGGGAAUCCUUUCCCCACUGCUUGUUUUUGUCAGGUUUAUCAAAGAUUGUAUGGUUGUAGAUAUGUUGUAUUGCUUCUGAUGCCUCUGAUCUGUUCCAUUGGUCUAUAUCUCUGUUUUGGUACCAGUACCAUGCUGUUUUGAUUACUGUAGCCUUGUGGUAUAGUUUGAAGUCCGGUAGUGUGAUGCCUCCCGCUGUGUUCUUUUUUGCUUAGAAUUGACUUGGCUAUGUGGGCUCUCUUUUGGUUCCAUAUGAAGUUCAUGGUGUUUUUUUCCAGUUCUGUGAAGAAAGCCAAUGGUAGCUUGAUGGGGAUAGCAUUGAGUCUGUAAAUUACUUUGGGCAGUAUAGCCAUUUUCACAAUAUUGAUUCUUCCUAACCAUGAACAAAAUUGAAAGAGCUAGAGGAGCAAGAUCAAAAAAACUCAAAACCAGCAGAAGACAAGAAAUAACUAAGAUCACAGCAGCACUGAAGGAGAUAGAGACACGAAAAACCCUUCAAAAAAUCAAUAAAUCCAAGAGCUGGUUUUUUGAAAAGAUUAACAAAAUAGACAGACUACUAGCCAGACUGAUAAAAAAGAAAAGAGAGAACAACCAAAUAGAUGCAAUAAAAAACGAUAAAGGGGAAAUCACCACAGAUUCUACAGAAAUUCAAACCAUCAUCAGAGAAUAUCACAAACUACUCUAUGCACAUAAACUAGUAAACCUGGAAGAAAUGGAUAAAUUCCUGGACACCUGUGUCCUCCCAAGCCUAAACCAGGAGGAAGCCAAAACUAUGAAUAGACCAAUAACAAGGUCUGAAGUCAAGGCAGCAAUUAAGAGCCUACCACACAAAAAAAGCCCAGGUCCAGAUGGGUUCACAGCCGAAUUCUACCAGACACACAAAGAGGAGCUGGUACCAUUCCUUCUGAAACUAUUCCAAAUAAUCCAAAAAGAGGGAAUCCUUCCCAAAUCAUUUUAUGAGACCAACAUCAUCCUGAUACCAAAACCCAGCAGAGACUCAACGAGAAAAGAAAACUUCAGGCCAAUAUCCAUGAUGAACAUAGAUGCAAAAAUCUUCAAUAAAAUACUGGCAAACUGAUUGCAACAGCACAUCAAAAAACUUAUCCAUCAUGAUCAAGUAGGAUUCAUCCCGGGGAUGCAAGGCUGGUUCAACAUAUGCAAGUUGAUAAAUGUAAUUCACCACAUAAACAGAAUCAAAAACAAAAACCACAUGAUUAUCUCAAUUGACGCAGAGAAGGCAUUUGACAAAAUUCAACAGCCCUUUAUGCUAAAAACCCUCAAUAAACUCGGUAUUGAAGGAACGUAUCUCAAAGUAAUAAAAGCUAUUUAUGACAAACCAACAGCCAAUAUCAUACUGAAUGGGCAAAAACUGGAAGCAUUCCCUUUGAAAUCCGGCACUAGACAAGGAUGCCCUCUCUCACCACUCCUAUUCAAUAUAGUACUGGAAGUUCUAGCCAGUGCAAUUAGGCAAGAAAAAGAAAUAAAGGGCAUUCAAAUAGGAAAGGUGAAAGCCAAAUUGUCUCUAUUUGCAGACGACAUGAUAGUAUACCUAGAAGACCCAAUCGCCUCAGCCCAAAAACUCCUGAAACUGAUAAGCAACUUCAGCAGUCUCAGGAUACAAAAUCAAUGUGCAGAAAUCACAAGCAUUCCUAUACACCAAUAACAGACUUAAAGAGAGCCAAAUCAAGAACGAACUGCCAUUCACAAUUGCCUCAAAAAGAAUAAAAUGCCUAGGAAUACAACUUACAAGGAACGUAAGGGACCUCUUCAAGGAAAACUACAAACCACUGCUCAACGAAAUAAGAGAGGACACAAACAGAUGGAUGGUCUUGAUCUCUUGACCUCAUGAUCCCCCGGAUCGAAGUGCUGGGAUUACAGGCGUGAGCCACCAUGCCCAGCCUAUUAUUUUUUGAGAUGGAGUCUUGCUCUGUCACCCAGGCUGGAGUGCAAUGGCGCUAUCUUGGCUCACUGCAAUUUCUGCCUCCUGGGUUCAAGCAAUUCUCCUGCCUCAGUGUCCUGAGUAGCUGGGAUUACAGGCACCUGCCACCAUGCCCAGCUAAUUUUUGUAUUUUUAGUAGAGAUGGGGUUUCACCAUGUUAGCCAGGCUGGUCUUGAACUCCUGACCUCAGGUAAUCUGCCUGCCUGCGGCCUCCCAAAGUGGCAGGAUUACAGGCAUGAGCCACCGCGCCUGGACUUGAACUUUUUAUUUUGAGACAGGGUCUCAUUCUGUCACCCAGGCUGGAGUGCAGUAGUGUGAUCAUGGCUCCCUGCAGCCUUGACCUCCCAGGCUCAAGUGAUCCUCCCACUUCAGCCUCCUGAGUAGCUGGUACCAUAGGCGUGCACCACUACACCUGGCUAACUGUUACAUUUUUCUGUAGAGAGAUUUCACCAUGUUGCCCAGAAUGGUCUCAAACUCUUGGGCUCAAGCAAUUUGCCCACCUUGGCCUCCCAAAGUGCAGGAAUUACGGGUAUGAGCCACCGCACCCAACCUUAUUUAUGAUUCUCGCUCUUUAAUUUCUUCAACAAUGUUUUGUAUUUUUCGGAGUAGACAUUUUGUGAUUAUUUUGUUAAAUGUACUCCUAAGACUCUUCUUUUUUUGAGAUGGAGUUUUGCUCUUGUCACCCAGUCUGGAGUGCAAUGGUGUGAUCUCUGCUCACUGCAACCUUUGCCUCCUGGGUUCAAGUGAUUCUCCUGCCUCAGCCUACUGAGUAGCUUGGACUAUAGGCACCCACCACCACACCCGGCUAAUUUUUAUAUUUUUAGUAGAGACAAGUUUUCACCGUGUUAGCUAAGUUGGUCUCCUGACUUCAGGUGAUCUGCCUGCCUUGGCCUCCAAAAAUGCUGGAAUUAUAGGCUUGACUCACUGCACCUGGCCAAGACUCUUAUUCUUCUUGUUGCUACUGUUAAUGUUUUCUUGUUUAGUUUUGGGUUAACUAAAGAUGUAUAACAAUACAGUGACAUUUGUAUAUUGAUCUUUUUGUCUUAAAAUUUUUUUCAUUUUUCUCUCGUUUUUUGUUGUUGUUGUUGUUGUUGUUGUUACUUUUUAGAGAUGGGGGUUUCACCAUGUUGGCCAGGCUGGUCUCAAACUCCUGACCUCAGGUGAUCCACCUGCCUUGGCCUCCCAAAGUGCUGGGAUUACAGGUGUAAGCCACCAUGAAUAUUGAUCUUUUAUCCUGUAAUCUUGCUGAAUUCAUUUAUUGGUUCUUUUUGUUUGUUUGUUUGAGACAGAGACAGAGACUCUGUUGCCCAGGCUGGAGUGCAGUGCCAUGAUCAUAGCUAACUGCAGCCUCAAACUCAUAGCCUCCAGAGAUCCACCUGCCUCAGCUUCCCGAGUAGCUAUGACUACAGGCAUACGUCACCAUGCCUGGCUAAUUUAAAAAAAUUUUAUUGUAGAGAGACUAAGUCUUAUUAUGUUGUUCAGGCCAGUCCUGAACUCCUUGCCUCUGCUGUCUUCCCUCCUCAGCCUCCCAAAGUGUUGAGAUUACAACCAUGAGCCACCAUGCCUUGCCCAUUUAUUUAUUCUAAUAGUUUUUUUUAGUGGAUUCUUUGGGAUUUUCUUUUCUUUUUUUUCAGACAGGGUCUCACUCCAUUGCCUAGGCUGGAGUUCAGUGGCUCAGUCACUGCAAACUCCACCUCCCAGGUUCAAGCAAUUCUCCCGCCUCAGCUUCCUGAGUAGCUGGGACUACAGGCGCCCACCACCACACCCAGCUAAUUUUUGUAUUUUUAGUAGAGAUGGGGUUUCACUAUGUUGGCCAGGCUGAUCUUGAACUCCUGACCUUAAAUGAUCCACCCACCUCAGCCUCCCAAAGUACUGGGAUUGUAAGAGUGAGCCAUGGUGUCUGGCCGUGAUUUUUUCUUUCUUUUCCUCUUUUUUUUUUAUUUUUGAGACAGAGUCUCCCUCUGUUGCCCAGGUUGGAGUGCAAUGGCACAAUCUCAGAUCACUGCAAUCUCUGUCUCCUGGGUUGAAGCAAUUCUCCUGCCUCAGCCUCCCAAGUAGCUGGGAUUAUAGGCAUGUGCCACCAUGCCUGGCUAAUUUUUUGUAUUUUUAGUAGAGAUGGGAUUUCACCAUGUGGGCCAGCCUGGUCUCAAACUCCUGACAUCAGGUGAUCCACGCGCCUUGGCCUCCCAAAGUGUUGAGAUUACAGGCGUGAGCCACCAUGCCCAGCCCAUGUUUAUUUAUUUUUUGACUUCACUAUAUUAUAGUGGCGUCUAUUUCCCCUGCAACAUGGAGCCUCUUAUGACACUCCUCAGGUAGAUAAAUUAAUACAUACUUAUAAAGAAAUAGGCAUUGGGAGACUGGGUGUGGUGGCUCACGCCUGUAAUCCCAGCACUUUGAGAGGCUGAGGCGGGCAGAUCACAAGAUCAGGAGUUUGACACCAGCCUGGCCAACAUAGUAAAACCCCAUCUCUAUAAAAAUACGAAAAUUAGUUGGGUUUGGUGACAUGCACCUGUAGUCCCAGCUACUUGGGAGGCUGAGGCAGGAGAAUUGAUUGAACCUGGGAGGCAGAGGUUGUGGUGAGCCAAUAUUGUGCCACUCCAGCCUGGGCAACAGUGCGAGAAUCAAAAAAUAAUAAUAAGAAGAAAUAGGCAUUGGAAGGCCAAGGCAGGAGGACAGCUUGAGACCAGCUGAGACAAUAUAGUGAGUGCUCAUCUCUAAAAAAAUUAUCCAUGCAUGGUGUGCAGACCUGUAGUCCUAGCUACUUCAGAAGAUUGAGGUGGGCAAUCCCUUGAGCUCAGGAGUUUGAGGUUGCAGUGAGUUGUGAUUGGGCCACUAUACUGCAGCCCGAGUCAUAGAGAGAGACCCUGUGUCUUAAAAAAAAAAAAAAAAAAAAAAAAAUACUGGGCACGAUAACUCACACCUGUAAUACCAGCAUUUUGAGAGGCCAAAGUAGGCAGAUCACUUGAGGUCAGGAGUUCGAGACCAGCCUGGCCAACAUGGCAAAACCCUGUCUCUAGUAAAAAUAAAUUAUCUGGAUGUGGUGGCUCAUGCCUGUGGUCCUAGCUACUUGGGAAACUGAGGCAAGAGAAUUGCUUGAACCUGGAAGGCAGAGGUUGCAGUGAACUGAGAUCAUGCCACUGCACUCCAGCCUGGGUGACAGAGUGAGACUCUGUCUCAAAAAUAAAUAUAUAAAUACAAAUUAAAAAAAGAAAUAUAGAUAUUACAUAUAAUUGCUGGGCGCGAUGGUGUGUGCCUGUAGUCCCAGCUACUCGGGAAGCUGAGGUGGGAGGAUCGCUUGAGCCCAGGAGUUCUGGGCUAUAGUGCACUAUGCCCAUUUGGUGUCCACACUAAGUUUGGUGUCAGUAUGGUGACCUCCUGGGAGCGGGGGACCACCAGGUUGCCUAAGGAAUGGUGAACUGGCCCAGGUCAGAAACGGAGCAGGUCAAAACUCCCGUGCCGAUCAGUAGUGGGAUCGCACCUGUGAAUAGCCAUUGUACUCCAGCCUGGGCAACAUAGAGAGACCAAGUCUCUUAGAAAAAAAAAAAAAAGAUAUUACAUAUAAUUACAUAUGCAUAUGGGCAUGUACACAUUCACCCUGGGAUGAUCAUGGUUUUAGUACGGCUCUUGUUGGCUAUUUCUUCCUCUGAUUUCUCUGUUAAGCUCUCUGCCUCAUUUUGUAUUACACACAUAUGUUAGGCUUCACUAAUUACUGUAUUAUUUUUGAGAGUGUUCUGGGGCAUAAAUUUCUCAGCACUCUGAUACAAUUAAAUUCAGGUAAGGUAGUUGAUGAGGUCCAUCUUUGAGCAGGUGGGCCCUUCUUAGCUGUCUCCCUUCCUGGUUCUCACGUCCUGCUGUGAGGCCGGUUCCUAACAGGCAGCAGAUGGGUAUCAGGUACUGGUCGGUGGCCUUGGGGUUGGGGACUCCUGGUUUAGUGUAUUGCUAUCUUUUAUUGUUGUUGUUGUUGAGACAGGGUCUUGCUUUGUGCCCAGGCUGGAGUGCAACACCAUGAUCUUGGCUCAUUGCAACCUCCACCUCCCGGGUUCAAGUGAUUCUCUUGCCUCAGCCUCCUGAGUAGCUGGGAUUACAGGCAUGUGCCACUACUCCUGUCUAAUUUUGUAUUUUUAGUAGAGACGGGGUUUCACCAUGUUGGUCAGGCUGUUCUCGAACUCCUGACCUCAGGAUAUCCACCUUCUUGGGCCUCCCAAAGUGCUGGGAUUACAGGAAUGAGCCACAGUGUCUGCUGUAUUGCCCUUAAUACAGGGCAAGAGGAGCUUGGCCAGGUGUGGUGCCUCAUGCCUGUAAUCCCAAAAUUUUGGGAGGCCGAGGAGGGCGGAUCACGAGGUCAAGAGGUGGAGACCGUCCUGGCCAACAUGGUGAAACCCCAUCUCUACUGAAAAUACAAAAAAUUAGCCAAGUGCAGUGGUGGGCUCCUGUAAUCCCAGCUACUCAGGAGGCUGAGGCAGGAGAAUCGCUUGAACCUGGGAGGUGGAGGUUGCAGUGAGCUGAGAUCACACCAUUACACUACAGCCUGGGCAGCAAGAGCGAAACUCCAUCUCAAAAACAAAACAAACAAAAAAUUAGCUGGGCGUGGUGACACAUGCCUAUCGUCCCAGCUACAUAGGAGGCUGAGGCAGGAGAAUUGCUUGAACCUGGGAGUUGAAGGUUGCAGUGAGCUGAGAUCAUGCCACUGCACUCCAGCCUGAGCUACAGGGUGAGACUCCAUCUAAAAAAUAAAAAAAAAAUAAAAAACAAAAAUGGGGCACUUUGGUGGUGGCUCACGCCUGUAAUCUCAGCAAUUUGGGAGGCCACCAAGGUGGGCAAAUCACUUGAGGAGUUCAAGACCAGCCUGACCAACAUGGAGAAACCGCUUCUCUACUAAAAAUACAAAAAAUUAGCCGGGCAUGGUGGCGCAUGCCUGUAAUUCUAGCUAGUUGGGAGGCUGAGGAGGGACAAUCAGUUGAACCUGGGAGGCGGAGGUUGUGGUGAAUUGAGAUCAUACCAUUGUACUCCAGCCUGGGCAACAAGAGUGACUCUCUUAUUAAAAAAAAAAAGAGGAGCUAUUGUUUUGUUUUAUUUCUUUUUUUCUUUUUUUUCAAGACAGGGUUUCGCUCUGUUGCCCAGGCUGGUCUUGAACUCUUGAGUGCAAGCAAUCUACCCACCUUGGCCUCCCAAAGUGCUGGGAUUAUAGGUGUAAGCCACCUAGCCUGGCCAGGAGCUGUUGGUUUCAAGGGUGCCCUUGAGCUUGAAUUUCUCCAUUUCCCCCCAACUUUUUUUUUUGGUGGAGUCUCACUCUGUUGCCCAGGUUAGAGUGUGGUGGCUCAAACUUGGCUCACUGCAACCUUUGACUCCCGGGUUCAAGGGUUCAAGUGAUUCUCUUGCCUCAGCCUCCCAAGUAGCUGGGACUACAGGUAUACAGUACCACGCCCAGCUAAUUUUUGUAUUUUUUUCACUAGAGACGGGGUUUCGCCAUGUUGGCCAGGCUGGUCUCCAACUCCUGACCUCAAGUGAUCUGCCUGCUUCAGCCUCCCAAAGUGCUGGGAUUACAGCUGUGAGCCACCAUGCCUGGCUUUUUUUUGGGAUGAGAUCUCACUCUGUCACCCAGGGAGUGCAGUGAUGUAGGAACAGUUCACUGCAGCCUCGACCUCCCAGGCUCACCCAAUCCUCCCACCUCAGCCUCCAGAGUAGCUGGGAUUACAUACACAUGCCAUCACACUCAACUAUUUUUUGUAGAGACAGGGUCUUGCUAUGUUGCCCAGGCUGGUCUCAAACUCCUGGACUCAAGCAAUCGGCCUGUCCCAGCCUCCCAAAGUGCCAGAAUUACAGUUGUGAGCCAUGGUUCCUGGCCACACACUCUGUUUCAAACAAAGUCAUUUCCUUUGGGAAGAGAUUCAGAGCUUACUUUAUAUUUGUUUAUUUAGACAGGGUGAUAUAGUUUGGAUGUGUGUCCUCAGCCAAAUGUCAUAUUGAAAUGCAAUCCCCUGUGUUGGAGGAAUGGCCGGGUGGGAGUUGACUAGAUCGUGGGGUUGCAUUUCUCAUGAAUGGUUUAGCACCAUUCCCCUUGGUACUGCCAUCAAGAUAGUGACUGAGUUAUUGUGAGAUCUGGUAGGUUUUUAAAUUUUGUUUUAUUAUUAUUAUUAUUUAUGAGAUGGAGUCUUGGUCUGUUGCCCAGGCUGGAGUGCGGUGGCGAGAUCUCAGCUCACUGCAACCUCCGCCUCCCAGGUUCAAGCGAUUCUCCUGCCCUAGCCUCCCAAGUAGCUGGGAUUAUAGGUGUGCACCACAAUGCCCAGAUAAUUUUUUGUGUUUUUAGUAGAAACGGGGUUUCACCAUGCUGGCCAGACUAGUCUCGAACUCCUGACCUUGUGAUGCACCCGUCUUGGCCUCCCAAAGUGCUGGGAUUAGAGGUGUGAGCCACUGUGCCUGGCCUAUUUUGCUUUAUUAUUAUACAUUAAGUUCUGAGAUACAUGUGUAGCACAUGAAGGUUUGUUACAUAGGUAUACAUGUGCCAUGGUGGUUUGCUGAACCUUUUUUUUUUUUGAAAGGGAGUCUCUCUCUGUCACCCAGGCUGUGGCACAUCUCGGCUCACUACAACCUCUGCCUCCCAGGUUCAAGCAGUUCUCCUGUAUCAUUCUCCCAUGUAGCUGGGGGUAUAGACGCCUGCCACCAUGCCCAGCUAAUUUUUGUACUUUUAGUAGAGAUGGGCUUUCACCAUAUUGGUUAGGCUGAUCUCAAACUCCUGACCUCAGGUGAUCUGCCCACCUCAGCCUCCCAAAAUGCUGGGAUUACAGGUGUGAGCCACUGUGCCUGGCUGAGAUCUGGUAGUUUAAAAGUGUGUGGCACCAGCUGGGCGCAGUGGUUCACACCUAUAAUCCUAGCAGUUUGGGAGGUCGAGGUGGGUGGAUCACAAGAUCGGGAGUUCGAGACCAGUCUGACCAAUAUAGUGAAACCCUGUAUCUACUAAAAAUACAAAAAUUGGCCAGGCGUGGUGGCGGGCACCUGUAAUCCCAGCUACUCAGGAAACUGAGGCUGUUGAAGGGCGUGAACUCAGGAGGCAGAGGUAGCAGUGAACACCUUUUCCCUCUCUCUGUCUUGCUCCUGCUCUGGCCACACAACCUACCUGCUCCUCCUUUACUUUCUGCCACACUUGUAGGUUGUCUGAGGCCUCCCCAGAAGCCAAGCAGAUGCUAGCAUCAUGCUUCCUAGAUAGUCUGCAGAACUGUGGGCACCUUUUUUUUUUUUUUGAGGGAGAGCGUCACUCUGUCACCCAGGCUGGAGUGCAGUGGUGCAAUAUCAGCUCACUGCAACCUCCGCCUCCCAGGUUCAAGCAAUUCUCCGGUCUCAGCCUCCUGAGUAGCUGGUACUAUAAUAGGUGCACACCACUGUGCCUGGCUAAUUUUGUAUGUUUAGUAGAGACAGGGUUUCUUCAUAUUGGUCAGGCUGAUCUUUUUAAUUUUUAUUUAUUUAUUUACUUUUUCCUGAGACAGAGUUUUGCUCUUGUUGCCCAGGCUGGAGUACAGUGGCACGAUCUCAGCUCACUGCAACCUCCACCUCCGGGGUUCAAGAAGUUCUCCUGCCUCAGCCUCCCGAGUAGCUGGGAUUACAGCAUGCAUCACCACACCUGGCUAAUUUUUUUUUUUUUUGAGACGGAGUUUUGCUCUUGUUACCCAGGCUGGAGUGCAAUGGUGCGAUCUCGGCUCACCACAACCUCUGCCUCCUGGGUUCAGGCAAUUCUCCUGCUUCAGCCUCCUGAGUAGCUGGGAUUACAGGCAUGUGCCACCAUGCCCAGCUAAUUUUUUGUAUUUUUAGUAGAGACAGGAUUUCACCAUGUUGACCAGGAUGGUCUCGAUCUCUUGACCUUGUGAUCCACCCACGAGGCCUCCACCUUGGCCUCCCAAAGUGCUGGGAUUACAGGCUUGAGCCGCCGCGCCUGACCAAUUUUGUAUUUUUUUAGUAGAGACAGGGUUUCACCAUAUUGGUCAGGCCGGUCUCGAACUCCUGACCUUAAGUGAUCCAUCUGCCUUGGCCUCACAAAGUUUUGGGAUUACAAGCGUGCGCUAUCAUGCAUGGCUGGUCAGGCUGGUCUUGAACUCAGAUCUCAGGUGAUCUGCCCAUCUCAGCCUCCUAAAGUGCUGGAAUUACAAGCAUGAGCCCCCAUGUCCAGCCUAUUUUAUUUUAUUUUAAGAUAAGGUUUCACUCUGUCAUCCAGGCUGGAGUGCAGUGGCACAAUCUCAGCUUGUUGCAACCUCCACCUCCUGAACUUGUGAUUCUCUGGCGUCAGCCUCCUCAAUAGCUGGGAUUACGGCCGUGUGCCAACAUGCCCUGCUUAUUUUUUGUUUGUUUGUUUUUGAUUCGUCCCACUCGGUCACCCAGGCUGGAGUGCAGUGGUGAAAUCAAGGCUCACUGCAACUUCUACCUCCCAGGUUCAAGUGAUUCUCGUGCCUUAGCCUCCUGAGUAGUUGGUAUUACAGGCGCAUGCCACCACCUCCAAAUAAUAUUUGUAUUAUUAGGGAAGACAGGGUUUCACCAUGUUAGCCAGGUUGGUCUAGAACUCCCAACCUCAAAUGAUCUGUCCAUCUCAGCCUCUCGAAGUGCUGGGAUUACAGGCAUGAGCCACUGUGCUUGGCCAAUUCUUUUUAUUUUUUGUAGAGUUGGAGUUUGUCCAGGCUGGUCUCAAACUCUUGGGCUCAAGUAAUCAGGUUGCCUCGGCCUCCCAAAGUGCUGAGAUUACAGGCAUGAACCACUGCACCUGGCCUUUUUUAUUUAUAUUCAUUUAUUUGUUUUUAGAAAUGGAAGUCUUGGUAUGUGCCCAGGCUAGUCUGGAACUCCUGGUCUCAAGCAAUCCUCUGGCCUCAGCCUCCCGAGUCCCUGGAAUUGCAGGUGUGAGCCAAAGUGCCCAGCCACAGCUUUCUUGUUUAAUUGUGUGCUGCUCCCCCUGGAUAUCUGUGGCCCACAUCUCAAGGAGAUGGGUGGGUGUGGUAGCCUUGGUCUUCUCAGCUUCUUUCUUGUGGAUCGAACCUCUGUCCUGCCAGUGAGCUGGGUAAGGGUUGUCAGAAACUUAUAUUUUUUGCCUGCUGUGCCUGCAGUAGAGCCUCUAUCCUAUGUGUCAAGGGAGUCCCUCACCUCUUGGCCACACAAAAAAAGAAUUUGGCCUCUUCACCUUGGAGUUGAAGUAGCCCCUGAUUGGGAGCUAAGGGGAGAGGAAGCCCUAUUUUCUUUCCCUUCCCUUCCCUUCCUCCCUUCCUCCCUUCCUCCCUUCCUUCCUUCGUUUCUUCUUUCUUUCUCACUCUCUCACACUCUCUCUUUUUGACAGAGUCUCACGCUGUCACCUAGGCUAGAGUACAGUGGUGUGAACUCGGCUGACUGCAACUUCCAUCUCACAGGUUCAGGCGUUCUCCUGCCUCAGCCUCUGGGGUAGGUGGGACUAUAGGCACAUGCCACCACAUCUGGCUAAUUUUUUUGUAUUUUUUGUAGAGACAGGGUUUCACUAUGUUGGUCAGGCUGGUCUCGAACUCCUGACCUCAAAUGAUCCAUCCAUUUCAACCUCCCAAAGUGCUGGGAUUACAGGCAUGAAUCACUGCACUGGCCAGAGCACUAUUUUCUUGGCUGCAGCAGCCCAGAGUAGAUCUUCUGUCAAGCGGAGUUGGGAGAGGGGUAGGGAGGGAGCAGGAUAUGGUUCAAAUGCCAUAGACUUCCGCUGCUCUUACCAAGUUUUAGUAGCUUUUCUUGAAUAAAGAAAAGAGAGGGAUGAGAAAGAGAAGCAAGUCCCAGCCUGCUUCAAAGCUGGAAGAGCAAGGAGGCAGGGACAGAGGGGAUGCUGGGGGAGUCCAGGGGAGAUUUUGGCAGUGUCCACCCACCCACCCUCCCACAUCAGAAAUUCCAUGUCUUCUCCAGAGCCCAGGGCUAAUUUCCCCUUCUUAGGAAAGCCUCCUGAUUGCUGGCAUCUCAACUCCUCAGCUGUUUGUCCAUAUUUUUCCUUUUUUUUUUUUGAGACAGGCUCUUGCUCUGUCACCCGGGCUGGAGGGCAAUGCUGUGAUCACAGCUCACUGCAGCCUCAAACUCCUAGGCUGAAGCGAUCCUCCUGCUUCAGCCUGCCCCAUUGCUGCAAAACAGGCAUGCACCACCAGGCCUGGCUAAGGUAAAAAAAAUGGUUUUUUUUUUUUUUUGUAGUGACAGUGUCUCACAAUAUUGCCUAGACUGGUCUUGAAUUCUUGGCUUCAAGUGAUCUUCCUGCCUCAGCCUCCCAAAGUGCUGGGAUUACAGGUGUGAGCCACCAUGCCCAGCCAUACCUUUCCCUUCACUUUACUACUCCAUCUUCUGUGACAGGUGGCUGCUUCCUCUGUAUACCUCACCCCAAUUCUGAGAGCUCUUGGGAGGGGCAGGGCCUCACACACACCACAGCCAUCCUGGUGCCGGGUCAGAGCAGCUGCACAUUGAUAAACACCUGCCUAGUGCCUGAUCUCGGGGUGCUGCUGAGGACGAGUGGCCUGUGCAUAGCACAUGUGUGAUAUGCACUCACAGGCACACUGCACUCCUUGGGUCACAAGAGUCCUGGGGAGACUCCAGAGGGAAAACCACCCACAGGCACUGUUCUAUGACCACAUUCAUCAGGAACAGGACAAUUGUGACUCAGUCAUCCGGGAGAAUGCUGGCCAGAGAUGAGAGAUUCUGAGGCUGAUUUUCUGUUUCUGACCUGAUGAGCCAGAGCUUGGGCCACAGCACCGUAUCCCUGGGCCAGCUGAGGGAACUCCACUUCCAGAGGCUCAGAGCCUUGGGCCGGAAGGCUGCCACUGGCAGGGACUUCUGUUAGAGACACAGAGGGCCAAACACCAAUAAACUGCCCUCUGCUUGCUGCCAUUAGGCUCAGCAGAAUCAGUGCUGCUGGACCACCUUGGUCUGGCCCACCGCGGACAGUGCCCUGCUCAUGGUACUGGGAAGAUACCAACAUUUGUGAAAUAUGAGGCACAUUGUUUUCUAUAUAUUUGGGGGAAAAUGGCAACUGGAAAAAUGAAUAAUAGGCUGGGCGUGGUGGCUCCUGCCUGUAAUCCCAGUACUUUAGGAGGCCAAGCACGGUGGAUUGCUUGAGCCCAGAGUUUGACACCAGCGUGGGCAACACCGCAAAACCCUGUGUCAACAAAGAAUACAAAAAUUAGUUGGACAGCAGUGCCUGCCUGUGGUCCCAGCUACUUGGGAGGCUGAGGUGGGAGGAUCGCUUGAGCCUGGAAGGUGGAGGUUGCAGUGAACUGAGAUCCCACCACUGCACUCCAGCCUGGGGAGCAGAGCCAGAUCCUGUCUCAAAAGAAAAAAAGAAAAAAAAUGUAGCAGAGGGUGGAGCUGGACAGACCUUCGGUGUUCUUACUGGUAUUAUUACCAGUGCCCACCUGCUGAUUCAGACUUAGCGACCGCUCCACAGCACUGUCUUGAGAGUGAAAUGACAAAGCGCCACCAACUGGAAAGCAUGAACUCAGCACCAUCUGGCACUAGCCAGAGCGUCCUAUACCCAGAGUGCGUCAGAACCACCUGAGGGUGUGAAAGCGGACACUGUCACACCGUUGUAGGAUUCUAAAUCAUUCACUAUUUCCACGAGCACAGAAAUAAACUAGAAUGAGAUGUGUUAAUUUUCUGUGUUAACUAUUUAUCACAAACCUCCCUCUAUCCCCUGGCGGUUCUGCAGGUCAGAGCCAGGUGUGUGCUCCUCCUGAGGCGGGCUCACCGGGCCUAGUGGGCCCAAGACAAGGGGUAGGGAUAGGAGAAGGGAGGGCUGGGGAUAGAGCAGCCUCUCCCCCGCCCACCAUGCCUGGCGACCCACCCCCCGCCGUCUCCAUGGUGAUGGUAAACAAGCAUCACCCUUUGCCUUGCCAGAGCCCCACGUACCCGGUCUCUAGUGGAAACCAGGGAGAUGGAACCCCGGGGUGAGGUGCGCAGGCCCUGGGGAGGGCCGGGCAGGGCGCCGGCGGCCUGGGCCCCGCGCAGCAGGCACUGGGGUUACAGGGUAGGGCCCCAGAGCUUAGCCUGAGAAUGGAGAGAGGUGGCAGGGCCGGAACAGCCUGGGCCUCCGUGGCUCUCAGCGUGCGUCCCGCAACUCUGGGCGCACCGCACUCCGCGGGCCUGGCCCAGGACUCCACCCUGCGCGGCGCCAGAGCGCAUGGCAACCGGCACACACUGUCCUCGACACCCUCUGCGGACUUGCGCCAGCCACUCUCCCAAGGCAUCUUCCCUGCUCGACUCGCUGCACACUCGGCCUAGGUUUCGCCUGAGAGCAGCCAUCAGGAGAUCUCCUGCUCGCCCGCUGCAGCCCCUGCCCACAUUCCUGCCUUUGGCUCUCGCCCAGCCUGGCGUCCCAUGCAUCACACAAUUUAAAGGCCGGACGCAGUGGAUCACGCCUGUAAUCCCAGUACUUUGGGAGGCCAAGGCGGGCGGAUCACUUGAGGUCAGGAGUUGGAGACCAGGCUGGCCAACAUGAUGAAACCCAGUCUCUACUAAAAAUGCAAAAAUGAGCUGCAUGGUGGUUGCGCCUGUAAUCUCAGCUACUGGGGAGGCUGAGGCAGGAGAAUAGCUUGAAACUGGGAGACAGAGGUUGCAGUGAGCUGCCACACCGCACUCCAGCCUGUCCGGGACACAGCGAGACUUCGCCUCAAAAAAAAAAAAAAAAAAGAAAGAAAGAAAGAAAGAAAAAGAUUUAAAAAACGAGGGUUAGAUGCCAGAAGUAGGUGGCAGUGCCUUAACCCUGUGCGUGUUGUCAUGCCCCAGGGCCUCUUCAUCCCUGUCAAGGCAUAUGCCAACCUUCUUUCCCUUCAUUCAGCAGGGCUCUCUCCUAAAACCCUCUCUUGACCCCACUUCCUCUUGCAACAACCACCUCACUGCUUUGUGCCCCUUAACACAGAGUCACGCCGAAUUGUCUGCCUUCACUGUUUCCACUUUCUUUUUUUUUUGUUUUUGUUGAGAUGGAGUCUCGCUUUGUUGCCCAGGCUGGAGUGCAAUGGCACAAUCUCGGCUUACUGGUAAAUGAGAUUACAGGGGCACACUACUAUGCCCAGCUAAUUUUUUUUUUUUUUGUAUUUUAGUAGAGACAGGGCUUCACCAUGUUGCCCAGGCUGGUCUCAAACUCCUGAGUUCAGGCAAUCCACCUGCCUCAGCCUCCCAAGGUGCUAGGAUCACAGGCGUGAGCCAUUGCGCCCCGGCCUGCUGUUUCCAUUUUCUCUCCUCAUCCCAAGGCACUCUACUUCCUUCCCCUCCAACUCCACCUGCCUUUCCUGCCCAACAGGCAUAUCAUGUU